rnacentral:tRNA from 1 species
GCGGCGUUAGCUCAAUUGGAUAGAGCAUCUGGCUACGGACCAGAAGGUUGGGGGUUCGAGUCCCUCACGCCGCA